AGAGCGAACGCUGGCGGCAGGCCUAACACAUGCAAGUCGAGCGCCCCGCAAGGGGAGCGGCAGACGGGAGAGUAACACGUGGGAACGUACCCUUUGGUUCGGAACAACACAGGGAAACUUGUGCUAAUACCGGAUAAGCCCUUACGGGGAAAGAUUUAUGCCAAAGGAUCGGCCCGCGUCUGAUUAGCUUGUUGGUGAGGUAACGGCUCACCAAGGCUACGAUCAGUAGCUGGUCUGAGAGGAUGAUCAGCCUCACUGGGACUGAGACACGGCCCAGACUCCUACGGGAGACAGCAGUGGGGAAUAUUGGACAAUGGGGGCAACCCUGAUCCAGCGACGCCGCGUGUGUGAAGAAGGCCUGCGGGUUGUAAAGCACUUUUAGUGGGAUGAAAAGCUCAGGGUUAACACCUCUGGGUCUUGGACCUAACCCACAGAAAAAGCACCGGCUAACUCUGUGCCAGCAGCCGC
rnacentral:rRNA from 1 species